AUCCUUCUUAAAGAUAAAAAAUACGAACUCAAAGAAUCUAUAAAGCAAAAUAAUUGUUUAAAAUGAAACUUAGCCGCACAAAAUAAAUGUUUAAAAUGAAACUUUACCGCGCAUGGCGCGGGUUCUAUUCUAGUCACAAUAUAAGAUACAGUUUUUUAACUUUUAACUAAAAAAAAAUUAAAAAACGUCUCUUAUAAAAAUCUCUUAAUUAUUUUAUUAUAAAACUAAAAAACCGUAUUUUAUAUUACGUUAAAACAUCUACAAUAAACAUGCUCUAAUACAUCCAAAUAUAAGUAAAAACCCCUUUCUAUCGGGGUCCUUCGCAUCUGAUGCCCUCUUUUCUACAGGCUUACGUGAUCAACCACAAUACUUGUCAAAACGUCACGUUUCGACUUUGAUCUAGUUUCACUUUCCUUUUCAAUCAAUACAAUACUAAAAGGGAGAUAUAAGCCUCAGAUAGGCUGUCCACGUCAGACAAAAAAAACAGCCAAUCAUGUUAUAACGUUUUGCCACGUCAUAACUGAUUUAGGAUAUUGGGCUUCAAAUCACUUCUGAUCUGUCAAAAUAAUCUUAACGGCCCAGCAAGCCCACCUAUGGAAAGCAUCGUAACCUUUGUCUCAACGACACGAAUCCUUCUUCCUCAUUUUCUCUGUAGAUCGUUCGUGAAACCCUUUCCUCUUCCUCUUCUUCGAUUCCGUUUCACGAUCUGAUUUACGAUCAAUCAAUACAGACUCCACUUCGGUUCUCCCUUUAAUUUCAUUUAUGGAUUCUCUUUUCUUCUCUCGCUCUGUUUUUCUUUAUAAAACUCUUAAUCCGAGUUUUGUUUCGAUCAAACUUGGUUGUCUCUUCUCAUUACUCUACUGCGAUGAGUUCCUACAGAGAAUCGACGAUCGGCAAAAGCGGUGUUUCUCCCGGCCUCAAGAUCGGCGAUCCCAACUCGAAGAAAGCAAAAGGCAAAGCGGCGGUCUCCUCUUCCAGUCCGACCAAACUCAUCGGCAAAACCGGUGUCUCUUCCGGCCUCUCCAUCGACAAUCCCCACUCGAAGAAACUCAAUGCAGCAGACGAGGUAGCUGAGGAGAUCCGGCGGCUGAACGAUGUCCCGAUGCUUGCGAUCCCACCGGAAUUGCAGACCUGAGAGUUGUUAGAGAUGGAUAAGAUAAGUGUCGCUAACCUCUUGCUUCGUAAUGCCAUAGCUCUCUAGGAUUAUUGUUCUGUACUCUUCUCGCUUCUCGGGAUUAUGAAUUAAUGCGAUUGCAAGGAAGAGAUGGGUCUGCGGAAAUCUUUAACGAAUUGGCCCCAUGAAGAAGUGUGGAUAAGCUCCUUCUCGUCUCUCACUUCUCAGUUUCAGUUCAAUUGUGGUUUAAGAGAUUGUUCUCUGCGAUGAAAUGCAACACUUCAACCAAAUCGAAUAGCACAUUCUUGAUUUGAACACAUGGGCGUCUAUAUGUUACUAUUGGAUGAUAAGGACUACAGGAGCCACUCAUCCAAGCCUCUAACACACAAAGUCCACGGGCUGAACACUUUCAGAGAAUUAGAGGAAGCAUUUUCAGAGAAUUAAGUGGAUUCGAUGUGGAUUUGCUAUGAAAAAAAAAAGAUGUUGGAAGACAGAAGGUUCCCCAAAUUGCAUCUCAACUUUCAGCUCAGGCAACUCUGAUUCAGGCCUCAAUUACCUUGGCUUGGACUGUUCAUGAUGUUAUCGCUUGAGUGUACAGACUCAAUAAGUUCCAAUACCUAAGACCUGAACUGAACAUCCCUUCUUUGCUCUUGACUACUUGCCUUUUUGUUUAUGUCCAGAGAAGUGAUAACCACCUGGUGAUGACAUGCCUGGAGCUGUAGCAGUGUCAACUAAGCCAUCUGAUAUGAUGCUCCAUCAUGCAUCUGAGAAAAAAAAAGCUACGAGUGAUAGUGGUUGGAUUGUUGAAGAGAGUGAUGCUGCUCCACCUCAAUCAACUGAUGCUACUGUUUUGGUUGGUUCUGAUUAAUCGGAAGGAUCCACCCACGGAGAAUGUGCCUGAAGGUAAGAAGCCACGCAUUGCAUAACUUUAUAGGCUAAGGAGGACCUAAGCUUAAAGUCGGUUACAUCGAGUCUAUCGUUUUUUCUUUCUUUUCCUCUGUUUUGAUCUUUUAAUUCUUAGAGAUUUUCCUCACAUGAAACCUUCUUCGGUGUUUUAAUUUAUCUUUGGUUUUAGUUUUCGUUCUGACUUGGAAACAAAGUUCGUCUAUUGUUUAUAAAAUAAAAUUUCCUUCAAA